UCACUUGCGAAACAGUCGGAACACAACCCAGAAGUCCUUGGUCAGUUCAGUCUUUGUAAAUGUGGGCUCCAAUUCAUCAAACGUUUAUGCACAUGCUUACCUUUACUUGUAUAUGUAGUCCCAUUGUAGUCCCAUGAAGUAUCACUAGAGGAGGUUUUGGAAUUAAUUGAUAAACUCAACAUUAACAAGUCACCGGGACCAGAUGGCAUUCACCCAAGAGUUUUGAAAGAACUCAAAUGUGAAGUUGCGGAACUAUUAACUAAGGUCAUGACAAGCUGCAGGCUGUACUUGGCGGAGACCCCACCGCUACCGUGCACGCUACUGUGGAUGUCUCCGAGGAGCCUAAGCCACGGGCCCCUGCCAUGAACGGGAAGGAGGACAAGCAGAGAGAGGUGACAUGCAGGGGAGUCCACCUACACCAGGAGCCAGGACCUGCCUGAGACUCCUGCAUGGUCUAGCUAGUCCUGGCAGCUGAGCAUGGACUAGCCUGUUGAAGGGGAAGGGACCUCAGGAGCUGUUGCUGUUAUGGGGCCCUCCACACCCACAGAACACUUGACCCUGAUGAGGAGAAAGAAGAGGAUUAGGGAGGACAUACUGAAUGAGGUCCUGCAAGCUGGUGCUGCAUCGGACCAUGAACAAAGGGCCUGGAGGGCUGAUGGUAUGGAGAGGGGAAAAGUGGACAGAAGAAAUGCCAGCAGGGAGAGGGGGAGAUACACCAAUACUUAAUAGGAGCAAAUUUAAAUGCUGCAGACCCUGGUUGACCAACAGGUCCAAAUAUCCCAGACUCACCUUUGCAGACCUUGGAGAACUCCAUGGCAGCAGCUCCCUAUACCCCCCAACAUACCACGUGGCAUCCUGGGCUACAUCCCUAUCCUUACCACUCCACAGGGGGACACAGCAAGGAAAACCACAGCUUCUCACAUACACUGCCCCAUGAGAACCACGGCAGGUGUAUGUGUAGCCACAACGGACUACAUUUGUACACUCAGAUGGGCAAAAAUGUCAAGCCUAGUGGUUAGAGCAGGAGUUGGUAGCCAGGAAUAGGAGCCCAGGGUCAGAGAUGCAGUCACAGGCCAGAUGCCAGAGCUGAAGUCAUAAGUUAGGAAUUGGAGCCAAGGGUCAGAACUGAGUUACCCGGAGUGAGGCAAGACAGGGGCAAGGCUGGGCACAAGGCAGGAGCUAUCUCAGCCAUGGGCGAAUGAUUUGAGGAGCUGCCAAAAUACUGCUGCUGCUGGUCUUAAGGCUUGAUCCGGUGACUCUUCCCACCAAUCAGGCAGUGUGGCCACUGGGCAGCCUACUGCAUGCCAGCUGCAUUUGUUACGUUGCCCGGAGACUGGUUCUGCUGCAGACCCUGAUUCCUGACAACACCAGUGAUAUGAGUUAACCAAAGUUUGUAGUGUAGACAUGGCCUUAGUCUUUUAAGUUGCUGUAAUUCUGUAGCUGAACAACACCCUUCUUUUCUCAGUGCUAGUCUUUCAUUCUGUUUGGCUGCAGACUGGACAUGAUGGCAAUGUAUCUGUUUGGUUUUUUUUAAAGCUGUCUUUGCAAAACAAAGGGCUAUAUACACUGUCAUCCUCCCCCCCUUUCCCUGUUCCCGACUCUGUAAGAAAGCUCAGAUUCUGAAGAAAUCUAUGAAAAAUCAGCAAAAAUCUAUGAAAGACCUCAAAUUUGCAAUUUCCAUGGCACGGAUGUGUAUUGUCUGUAGUGAUGAUGGUCAUAAAAGCCAGGGCUCUGAAAUAAAAGUGAUAAUUUCUGUCUCAGUUGUUACCUUUUCUUGUUAGUGUUCUGCAACAUGAUUAUGGUGAAUGGUGUUGUUUCAAAUAAAAAUUAUCGACUGCUACUGGCUGACUUGUAAAAGACAAAGGCUUGACUAUUGGCUAGUACAUAAUUCCUCAUUUGCUAACUAGCUUUUGUGAUAUUAACAUUAUUUUGUGACAUUCUGAUGGAAGCCUGAAGGGGGAAAUGUUAUAAUUCUUUCACAAUUCAUUAGUUUGUAGGUGUCUCUGUUAUGAUGUUUAUACAAUGAAUGACUCAUAAGCUAAAUGAAUAUGCCAGCCUAAUAGUGCAGCCUAUAGUGAAACCUGAUGCCAUUACAUAAAAGCAUGGCAGUUGUUCAUACUUGUGCUAUUACUUGAUGAAGUACUUGCACACUGGAAAUGUGCGUGCCGUAGGUUACUUAAAUGUUCUCUGUUUUUAUAAGAUUUUUCUGAAAUAUGUAGUGUUUUACAAUAAUGGAUUGGCCUCCUUUUCUCCACUCUUUAUUGUACUAUACCCCUUAUUGUUCGGUUUAAGUUCUACAGCUCUUUUGAGUGCAUAAUUUGGAACUGAGGCCUGGUCUGCACUCAGGUUUGGCUCCAGGUUUUCUGC